rnacentral:rRNA from 1 species
AAAGGUAAGCUACUAAGAGCGAAUGGUGGAUGCCUUGACUGGUAAAGGCGAUGAAGGACGUACUAGACUGCGAUAAGCUACGGGGAGCUGUCAAGAAGCUUUGAUCCGUAGAUUUCCGAAUGGGGCAACCCAAUGUAUAGAGAUAUACAUUACCUAUAUAGGAGCGAACGAGGGGAAUUGAAACAUCUUAGUACCCUCAGGAAAAGAAAUCAAUAGAGAUUGUGUCAGUAGCGGCGAGCGAAAGCGCAAGAGGGCAAACCCAGUGCUUGCACUGGGGGUUGUAGGACUGCAAUGUGCAAGAGCUGAGUUUAGCAGAACAUUCUGGAAAGUAUAGCCAUAGAGGGUGAUAGUCCCGUAUGCGAAAAACAAAGCUUAGCUAGCAGUAUCCUGAGUAGGGCGGGACACGAGGAAUCCUGUCUGAAUCCGGGUCGACCACGAUCCAACCCUAAAUACUAAUACCAGAUCGAUAG